AUUGAACGCUGGCGGCAUGCUUUACACAUGCAAGUCGAACGGCAGCACGGGUGCUUGCACCUGGUGGCGAGUGGCGGACGGGUGAGUAAUACAUCGGAACGUAUCCAGAAGAGGGGGAUAACGCAUCGAAAGAUGUGCUAAUACCGCAUAUUCUCUGAGGAGGAAAGCAGGGGAUCGAAAGACCUUGCGCUUUGGGAGCGGCCGAUGUCUGAUUAGCUAGUUGGUGGGGUAAAGGCCUACCAAGGCGACGAUCAGUAGUUGGUCUGAGAGGACGACCAGCCACACUGGGACUGAGACACGGCCCAGACUCCUACGGGAGGCAGCAGUGGGGAAUUUUGGACAACGGGCGCAAGCCUGAUCCAGCAAUGCCGCGUGAGUGAAGAAGGCCUCGGUU
rnacentral:rRNA from 1 species